UACGUAGGAUGCAAGCGUUGUCCGGAAUUAUUGGGCGUAAAGAGCGCGCAGGCGGUAUGACAAGUCAGAUGUGAAAGAGGCCGGCUUAACCGGCAAGGGUCAUUUGAAACUGUCAGACUAGAGUGCAGCAGAGGAUAGUGGAACUCCCGGUGUAGUGGUGAAAUGCGUAGAUAUCGGGAGGAACACCAGUGGCGAAGGCGACUAUCUGGGCUGCAACUGACGCUGAGGCGCGAAGGCUAGGGUAGCAAACGGG
rnacentral:rRNA from 1 species